rnacentral:rRNA from 1 species
GAUGAACGCUGGCGGCGUGCUUAACACAUGCAAGUCGAACGGAAAGGCCUCUGCUUGCAGGGGUACUCGAGUGGCGAACGGGGGAGUAACACGUGGGUGAUCUGCCCUGCACUUCGGGAUAAGCCUGGGAAACUGGGUCUAAUACCGGAUAGGACAAUGGUUUGGGUGCUGUUGUGGAAAGUUUUUCGGUGUGGGAGGAGCUCGCGGCCUAUCAGCUUGUUGGUGGGGGAAUGGCCUACCAAGGCGUCGACGGGUAGCCGGCCUGAGAGGGUGUACGGACACAUUGGGCCUCAGAUACGGCCCAGACUCCUACGGGAGGCAGAAGUGGGGAAUAUUGGACACUGGGCGCAAGCCUGAUGCAGCGACGCCGCGUGGGGGAUGACGGCCUUCGGGUUGUAAACACCUCUCGCUAGGGACGAAGCGUUUUUGUGACGGUACCUGGAGAAGAAGCACCGGCUAACUACGUG